rnacentral:rRNA from 1 species
GUCACGCUGUAAACGAUGUCGAUUUGGAGUUUGUUGCCUAGAGUGAUGGGCUCCGAAGCUAACGCGAUAAAUCGACCGCUGGGGAGUACGGCCGCAAGGUUAAAACUCAAAUGAAUUGACGGGGGCCCGCACAGCGGUGGAGCAUGUGGUUUAAUUCGAUGCAACGCGAAGAACCUUACCUGGUCUUGACAUCCAUAGAAUUCUGCAGAGAUGUGGGAGUGCCUUCGGGAACUAUGAGACAGGUGCUGCAUGGCUGUCGUCAGCUCGUGUUGUGAAAUGUUGGGUUAAGUCCCGCAACGAGCGCAACCCUUAUUCUUUGUUGCCAGCGAUUUGGUCGGGAACUCAAAGGAGACUGCCGUUGAUAAAGCGGAGGAAGGUGGGGACGACGUCAAGUCAUCAUGGCCCUUACGACCAGGGCUACACACGUGCUACAAUGGCGUAUACAAAGGGAAGCGAAGGUGCGAGCUGGAGCGGAUCUCAUAAAGUACGUCUAAGUUCGGAUUGGAGUCUGCAACUCGACUCCAUGAAGUCGGAAUCGCUAGUAAUCGUAGAUCAGAAUGCUACGGUGAAUACGUUCCCGGGCCUUGUACACACCGCCCGUCACACCAUGGGAGUGGGUUGCACCAGAAGUAGAUAGCUUAACCGCGAGGGGGGCGUUUACCACGGUGUGAUUCAUGACUGGGGUGAAGUCGUAACAAGGUAACCA